rnacentral:rRNA from 1 species
CCUACGGGCGGCAGCAGUGGGGAAUAUUGGACAAUGGGGGGAACCCUGAUCCAGCCAUGCCGCGUGUGUGAAGAAGGCCCUCGGGUUGUAAAGCACUUUCAGUGAGGAAGAACGCCUGGUGGUUAAUACCCAUCAGGAAAGACAUCACUCACAGAAGAAGCACCGGCUAACUCCGUGCCAGCAGCCGCGGUAAUACGGAGGGUGCGAGCGUUAAUCGGAAUUACUGGGCGUAAAGCGCGCGUAGGUGGCUUGAUAAGCCGGUUGUGAAAGCCCCGGGCUCAACCUGGGAACGGCAUCCGGAACUGUCAGGCUAGAGUGCAGGAGAGGAAGGUAGAAUUCCCGGUGUAGCGGUGAAAUGCGUAGAGAUCGGGAGGAAUACCAGUGGCGAAGGCGGCCUUCUGGACUGACACUGACACUGAGGUGCGAAAGCGUGGGUAGCAAACAGGAUUAGAUACCCGUGUAGUC